GUGUGAGGGGGUCGUACGUCAUGCAGAGUGAUGGCGGGAUAUGCUGCACCGUGUGCGACCUCCUUACA
ncrna:Ornithorhynchus anatinus (platypus) microRNA oan-mir-1421g precursor (oan-mir-1421g-3)